GUACACGCUGUGACUAGCAUAUCAAUAAGCGGAGGAAAAGAAACUAACAAGGAUUCCCCUAGUAACGGCGAGUGAAGCGGGAAGAGCUCAAAUUUGAAAUCUUAAAGGGUUUCCCUUUACGAAUUGUAGUUUAAAGAAGUGUUUUCUGUUGAGGUUUUGGUAAAAGUUCUUUGGAAUAGGACAUCAUAGAGGGUGAGAAUCCCGUAUUUGACCUUUACUUUCAACUUUGUGAUACACUUUCAAAGAGUCGGAUUGUUUGGGAAUGCAGUCCAAAAUGGGUGGUAAAUUUCAUCUAAAGCUAAAUAUUGGCGAGAGACCGAUAGCGAACAAGUACCGUGAGGGAAAGAUGAAAAGAACUUUGAAAAGAGAGUUAAACAGUACGUGAAAUUGUCAAAAGGGAAGCGUUUGACACCAGUGUUGUUUUUCUGAAAAUCAAUUAAAGAACUGUUUAUGCUAAGUUGUUUAGACUUUAUCAGCUAACUGUUUAGUUUUGAGCUUUUCUUUAAUGCACUUUUCAGUUAACAAGUCAACAUCAAUUUCUUUUGCUGUAAAAAAGCUUGAGGAAGGGUGGCUUGAGAUUCGUCUUAAGUGUUUAUAGCCUCUUGCCUAUGCAGUCGGAGAGAUUGAGGUCUGCAGCGUAGAUCCUUCGGGGCUAAAUGCAUUUGUGCUAAGUUAUAGCAUUUUAUAGACAACUUGUUGACUAUGAUUUGUCUUGUAGCUUACUCGCUUAUGUUAUUUUACCUACGCUUAGGAUGUUGACGCGCGUGUGUGCGUG
rnacentral:rRNA from 1 species